GUCUGUCGGCGACGAGGAUGUCAGUGUUGAGGCCGCUGGACCAGCUGCCGGGCCUGAACACGGCCACCGUCUUGCUGGUGAGCACCGAGGAUGCCCUUCUGCAGCAGCUGGCGGACUCCAUGCUCCGAGAGGAUUGCCCCUCCCAGCUGAUGAUCCACUUGGCAAGGUCUCUCCCCCUGCCCUCCAAUGUGACUCGGCCCCGAAUUGACCUGGUCGUGUUCGUGGUCAACCUUCACAACAAGUACAGCCUCCAGAAUGUUCAGGAGUCCCUGUGCCAUGUGGACGCCAACUUCUUCCUGGGGAAGGUGUGCUUCCUGGCCACUGGUGCCAGCCAGGAGAACCAGUGCAGCAUCCACCACAACACCAUCCUGAAGCUGGCCCACGCCUACCGCAGCCCCCUGCUCUUCUGUGACCUGACGACGAAAGACUUCCAGUUCAGCGUGGCACAGCGCCUGGUGCGGAUGCUGCAGGUCUGCGCCGGCCACAUUCCUGGCGUCUCGUCCCUGAAUCUGCUGUCGCUGAUGAAGACCUCCGAGAUCCCCUCCCUGGAGGACCUGUGAGGGACCCGCUCCACGGCCGUGUCCAGGCACACACCCCCACACAUAGUCCCCCUCACUCCAGCAGAGCUGCUUCCUGCUCCUGACAUGCUACACUUGUCCACUGAAGAUUGCAUUCGAACCAGGGGUCCACUGCCGUCUGCCACCAUUCGCUUGUACAGGCGAGGAAACGCUCAGACCUUUGGGGCCCCUUUGCCACCUGCGCCAUUGAAGAGAAGUGGCAUUGAUUCCCCAGCCAAGGUUCUGGGAGCCUUCCAAGUGCUGUGGGAACAAGAUGCUGUCACUGCCGCAGCUCCAGCUGAGCUUGGCAGUGCCCCUCGCACCAGAAGCCCCUGCUCUGAGGGUGGAACUGGCCAGGCCUGGCCUGGGGCAGAGCUAGGUGCCACUGAGAAGGUGUCAGGGAGCCCCUCGGGCCGGCUGGAGGCCAGCAAGACCACCCACUCCAGGCAAUCUGAGGGAGCAGCCAUCUUUACCCCGUGACCGUGUGCCCACAAGUGGUGCUGAGGUGCUAAGAGCAGCCGGCUCAGCCGCUUAGUGGCCUAUUUCCUCAUCUCAAUGGGGUCCGGCCAACUAAUGCCUUCCUCCCUACCAUGUUGUGAGGAUUGAAAAUGAGGAACACCCUCCCUUUAUUGUAAAUAUAAAGUUUGAAGCAAAUGAA